ensembl:rRNA 5S_rRNA 5S ribosomal RNA
GUCUACGACCAUACAACUCUGAACGCGUCUGAUCUUGGAAACUAAACAGGUGGGUCUGCUUAGUACUUGGAUGGGAGACCCCAUGGGAAUACCAGGUGCUGUAGGCU